rnacentral:rRNA from 1 species
AUCUCUGUAGAGUCUGCAUAUCAAUAAGCGGAGGAAAAGAAACUAACUAGGAUUCCCUUAGUAACGGCGAGUGAAGCGGGAAGAGCUCGAAUUUGAAAUCUUCAAGGUUUUACCUUGACGAAUUGUAGUUUAAAGAAGUGUUUUCUGUUGGUGUUUUGGUAAAAGUUCUUUGGAAUAGGACAUCAUAGAGGGUGGGAAUCCCGUAUUUGACCAUUACUUCCAGCGUUGUGAUACACUUUCAAAGAGUCGGAUUGUUUGGGAAUGCAGUCCAAAAUGGGUGGUAAAUUUCAUCUAAAGCUAAAUAUUGGCGAGAGACCGAUAGCGAACAAGUACCGUGGGGGAAAGAUGAAAUGAACUUUGAAAAGAGAGUUAAACAGUACGUGAAAUUGUCAAAAGGGAAGCGUUUGACACCAGUGUUGUUUUCUCGAAAAUCAAUUAAAAAAGGCAGGAUUUUGUGUUGUAUUGACUUUAUCAGCUUUCUGCACUCUUUUCUUGUCUUUUUUAAUGCACUUUUCGUUUAACAAGUCAACAUCAAUUUCUUUUGUUGUAAAAGGGUCAUUGGAAGGUGGCUCUCUUUUCGGAGAAAGUGUUUAUAGCCUUUGGCCUCUGCAAUCGGAGAGAUUGAGGUCUGCAGCGUAGAUCCUUCGGGGUUAGAUACAUUUGUGCUAAGUUAUAGCCUUUCAUAGACAACUUGUUGACUAUGAUCAGUCAUGUAGCUUACUCGCUUAUGCUAUUUUACCUACGCUUAGGAUGUUGACGAUCAGCUGAGCGCG